rnacentral:tmRNA from 1 species
GAAGAAGCUGAAGAAGUUUCUUCUGCAGAAGCACUCGCUGCAUAGCAGUGCAGGAACUCCUUGGGCUCUGUUCCGCGUUUGAGGAUGUUCCUUUACCUAUCGGGACUUGCUGCAUGUAGUUUCUGAAAUGCAUGCGGGACUUUUUAUCAGAAUACGGAGGCGACGCUUGUUAUGCUGCUACCGGCUCCCGACAACCACCUCGCAUAACUAAACCUGUAGAUGUACCUGGUUUACCUUCCCGGACAGGAGUUCAAUUCUCCUCACCUCCACUU